GCUAGGAUGGCGGAACCUGGUAACGCGCAGGACUUGAGAUCCUGUGAGCUUCGGCUCUCGAGGGUUCGAAUCCCUCUCCUAGCG
rnacentral:tRNA from 1 species